GGUGCCUUUAGGGGUGCUUCGGUGCAAGGGAAUCCGGUGAGAAUCCGGGGCUGUACCUGCAGCUGUAAUCCCCAUUAUUGGGUCUGCUCGACACAAGCCACUGGCAAGCACAAUUGGCAACGGACAAUUGACAAUGGAAUUGCUGGGAAGGUGAGCAGAUUGGGGAAAGCCAGAAGACCUACCAGGAGUG
rnacentral:ncRNA from 1 species